UGUUGCCGCCACACAGACAGUGGCGGAAAUAUAACCAACUCAGAACAAAAAAAAAACAGUUUGAAAAAAAUACCUAAUGACCUUUUUCUUUCCAUUUCUGCUAGCAAAGAUACAAUUUCCCCUCGGUCUCGGCCGAAGUAGUUAUACAAUCGAAUAAUUUCAAGGUAAUUUUUUUCCAAUUCCUAAUUGGUUAUAUUUCCAUUAACGCAGUUACCCGAAUUGAUACAAAAUACGAUUUUAUUAUGAAGGUGUACGCUCAACGUUUCAAUGAAAUAUACAUUUCAUAUUAAAAUGAAAACACCAUUAAAAAUGGUAUACAUAUUCUUGUUGUAAACUGUACUUUUAAAACCCGACCGUAUGCAAACGAAUUUUCAUGUCAUGGAAAAUACAGGUAUAAAAAAAUUAAGACGGAUUUCACACUGGCCACUAGAUAUAAUCGAAUUUUAGUUUUUUUUUUCUUUUCUUUUAAUUUGAAAGUUCUUUUUUUUAAUACACAUUAUAGGUAUAUCGUUAUUUUAAAUUAUUAGGAGGUCCAAUAUGCUUACGAGUAUGCAUUUAUAGUUAAUAUUUAGAUUAGAUUUCAAACUUCGAUCAUUUCAAAUACUUUCGUUUUUAAAUACAUAAAUCAUAUUUACUUUUUGCACUAAAAUUUUAUAUAACCGAAGCAUUUUUGUUUAAAAAAUAGUGUGCUCACAUUUCUAUACGUAGUUAGGUGUCCGUCCGUCUUUUAUUCUUCAAUGAACUGUAAAAUAAUAUUGUUGUACCAUUAUAAUAAGAUGCAUUUAAUAUGUAUUUAAAAAUGCACAACUAAAUCCUAACUACCUUAUCCGAUAAAUAUAGAGGUAAAUCAUGAUUCAUGUCAUAUAAAUUAAGUAAGUUUGUACUAAUAUGUAACUAAUUGACUUUUUGGACUCAAAAAAAAAGAAGUGCCAUUGUCUUAGUCUUGAAAAUAUUAGGUAAUUUGUAAAUUGUAUUUUAAAUGUGUUUUACUAACUAACCUUAUCGUUAUGUAGAAAAUUCGUUAAAUUGAUGAAAAUAUGUAAAUUGAUAAGACUUAAAUAAAAAUAAGAUCAAUCAUUUGAUGUUUUGACUUUAUUAAGAUCUGGAUAAUGUUAAAUUAGGGCAAUGUUAUACGUAUACGCCCAAAUGUACAGAUUGGGUUUUCGUAUGUUUUUGGAUUGGAUGGAAUUUGAAUUUAAGACCUUAAAAUUAAGUUAAUAAUGUUCUAAUCUUUGAAAUUGAAAUUAUUUUUUUAGUCUUCGAAUUAAAAGAAAAUAUAGUUUUCAACUUAUUUUUCAAUAUGAAGUUUUCAAAAUAACCUGAACAACGAUUUCUCGCAAUACUAAAUGAUUUUUUAUUUCAUUGAUUAGAUCUAAUAUAAUAUUUGGCUAGUUUUUAUAAAAACUCAUUAUAUUAUAAAAUCAUCUUGUAUUAUUAUAUUUCCGGAUUUGACAAUGCGCCAACCAGUAUUCAAAAUUGACACGGAAGAAAUUUUGUGCGCGUGACAUUCGUUAUGCGAACGUCCAUAGACUACGGUAACUUUUCAUCAAGUGCAUAGUUUUGUCUAAUAACGCAGACAUGGUCCCGGCUAGACAACUUUGCAUUUUAUUAAGUUUCAUUCGAUAUCCGAUGUGAUCGUUUACUAAAAUUUUCCAGAAAGUUGGUUGAAAUAAGUGACUAUAUUUUUAUUAAUUUUCCCUUUUGACUCUACAAUGGCAGAAACACGUUGACACUUAAGUUUUCAUAAAGAUAAGUGAACUUACCGUAUCUAGCUUGGUUCUAUGUCUGUGUAUACUUGAUUGCAUAAAAUAAAACACAUCUGGACAUCUUGAAAAUGUACAUAAAGAGUUGUGUGUUGUGCCUUACAAUGACAACUCAUUGUUUACGGAAAAAAAGUUAAAAUUUUGUCUCUCAUGCAUGUUUGUAAAAGUUAAACCUGAAUUUUUUGUCCAAAGAAACCUAUAUAAAAACAUUUUGUGACUACGAAUUGAUAUUGUUUUAUGUAAAAAAAUAUUUCUUUUUUUUACUUUAUUUUAACUUUGCCCUUGUAAAUCUACUUACAUCAUAUUGCAAUACAGUGAGCUACAUACAUAAGUUAACGAUGCGACGGUUGUAUAUUUUUUAUGUGGCUCUCUAAAGUCUGUAAAUUUGAUUUAUUUCAAAUUAAACGUAAAGCUAAUUAAAUGUUUAAUUGUGAUAUUAAGGUUCAUCUUGAAACAUGACUUUUUCAAGAGUUAUCUAUAUUUUUGGCAACUUUUCGAGACUGUUGGCUCUAUCUACCUUGUAAGGGAUAAUUAAGAAGUAAUUCCGUAAUAUGGGGACUCUAGAGCCAUUCGGUUGCGGGUAUUGUGGUCAUAAUAUUCGAAAAUAUGAUACUAUAGAGAGUAUUGUGGUACAGUAUGUACUCUCAAUGAAUUUGACUUCGCAACCUAUGGUACCAUAUUCCCGCGUUUUGUUUUUAUCUUGCAAAUUGACAGCUUUAUAACUGCGCUGAAAAUUGCGUGCUAUACAAAGCCACAUUCAUAGUUUCAAGUACAACAUGGUAUUUCAAUUGUCUUAUUGUAUUCCUCUUAUAUGUGGUAUAUGGUCUCAUGAGUUACGGUAGUUACCAAAAGUACAGUUUAUCUUUCGUGUUACUUAUUGUCUAUGUGCCACUUCACCUGUGUGAUUCAAAAUUGAUAGGUCGGUAAACUUAUUAGUUUUAUAAACCGACAUCUUACGUUUUUGGUGUGAAGUUUAUUGCGAAUAAAUAAUUGCAGUUGUUUUAUAUCUGCGAUUUUUAUCGCUAUGAUUAAGAUUCUAGAUAAAAUUGGAAAAAAGACAACCAUUUUAAUUAAUUAUCGGCAAAUCUUUAAGUUUAAGACUAAUUUUAACAGCUUAUUUUUUGCUACGAUUAUGAACCAAAGAGUGUUCCGUCUAUAUUGAUUUACCAUAGGCAACUUCUUUCUUAAAGAUUUUAAUAGUUUUUAUGCGAGUAGAACCCACCGGAUGGAAAAACACGAGUAAAUUAUUAUCAAAUAGUUCCCUUUUCUCAGAUUUCUUAAUCGUACUAUUUUCUCGCUAAUAAUCUCUUCGGGCUCAACUGCCUCAAAGAUCUUUCGUUGACCAGACUAGAAUAUAAACAGAAACAACAUUGAUUUAAUGCAAUACUUUUAAAUGUUCGGUUUUGAAUUUUUGAGUUAUACUCUUUACUAUUUCUAACAUGACAAUAAUUUUUAAUUUCGCACGCUUACUUUAUUUUAAAUCGUCAUUUCAAUAUAUUUAUUACAUAUAAAGAUACUUGUGUUAAAUAAAAAUCAAAAUACAUAAUAUCUUUUAAAAUGGCACUUUGACUUAUCAAAGUUGUUCUUUAAUCUUGGUUACAUUUGUUAUUGUGUGACGCUCAAACUUUAUUUGAGAUUAUUUGAACAAUUUAAAUUACAGAUUAAGAAGGCUAAUUAUACAAAUAGAGCCUUUUUUUCAACCGAAGAGACAAUUUCAAUAUAUCACUAAAUAACAGAAUGAAUACAAAAGUAAAAGUUCUGUGUAGCCUUUAACAGUGGAUUUUGGAUAAAUAGCGCGCCAUUGUAAAUCUACCUAUAUUUUUCGGUUGCGUAAAACUCAAUUUAGUUGUUAAUUUCCUUUUUGUAAAAUAUUGAGGUUAAAAGUUCAAGUUCGAAGCCAGUUUUAUUAGAUUUGUAGUUUGCAUUUAUUUAACAAGGUUUUGUGUGUGAGAGUGACUAGAAAUUGAAGUUUUGUUUCAUUCACAGUGACGUGACAUUAUAUAAGAUAGGUAGGGUUUAAUAAGGCAUUAACUUUUCAUCUUUUAUCUUAAUAGCUAAACCGAAUAUUUAUCCAAUAAAAUGUCGCAUUUUCUUAUUCUUUCUUUUAUGAAAGUGUUAAGUUAUUCAUAACGAAUUUCAAUUUGUUUGUAUUGUGAAUUUGUUUUUCGUGUUGUAUAAAAUCUCUAUUUUACUAUGAGCCGGCGUGGAUGUACGAACUAGUAUAAUAUUAUAGUACCUUACUGUUACACUACUACUAUCUGUUUUUCCCCGGGCGUCGAUUGUAUAGACUGCCCGAACAGGUUUUUUCACCAUUAUUUUUCAAUAAAUAAUGUAUAAAGUU